rnacentral:rRNA from 1 species
CCUACGGGAGGCAGCAGUGGGGAAUUUUGGACAAUGGGCGCAAGCCUGAUCCAGCCAUGCCGCGUGUGGGAAGAAGGCCUUCGGGUUGUAAACCACUUUUGUCAGGGAAGAAACGGUCUGGUCUAAUAAACCGGACUAAUGACGGUACCUGAAGAAUAAGCACCGGCUAACUACGUGCCAGCAGCCGCGGUAAUACGUAGGGUGCAAGCGUUAAUCGGAAUUACUGGGCGUAAAGCGUGCGCAGGCGGCUUUGCAAGACAGAUGUGAAAUCCCCGGGCUCAACCUGGGAACUGCAUUUGUGACUGCAAGGCUAGAGUACGGCAGAGGGGGAUGGAAUUCCGCGUGUAGCAGUGAAAUGCGUAGAUAUGCGGAGGAACACCGAUGGCGAAGGCAAUCCCCUGGGCCUGUACUGACGCUCAUGCACGAAAGCGUGGGGAGCAAACAGGAUUAGAUACCCUGGUAGUCCACGCCCUAAACGAUGUCAACUGGUUGUUGGGAGGGUUUCUUCUCAGUAACGAAGCUAACGCGUGAAGUUGACCGCCUGGGGAGGACGGCGCGAGUAGUUAACGUUACGAAGAAGUUAGAGGCGNGAGAGNGCGACGGACGACGACGAGGGAGGAGG